UGGUAUCAUCUUCCUCGAAUUUGGGUGAUAAACACCAACAACAAUUUUCUUGUUAAUAUUUAACUUCAGAAUAUUUAUUCUUACAAUGCACCUUUCAAAUUAAAAUUGACAGACACAGAAAAAGAAAAAGCACAAGAAAAGCUAUGGUCAAUAUGGGAGGAAAAAGAGUACACCUCCCCGGUAGAUAUUUCUACUUUGAUUCCCAAGCAAACAUUUCAAAUUGCGACCUUUUGCACUUUUUCAUUAUUUUAAUGCCGUCCAAUAAUCCUCCAUGAUAAGAUAUUUUCGCCUCAAACUUACACCAACUCUCUUAUUAUGCGCGUGCUAUUCAAUCCUUCACCCUCUAUCUUCUCUGUCCUUGUUCACAAAAUCAACGUUCAACGAUAUCGCGUGAAUGAGCAGUGUCACAUCAUGGUUAGUCAUCUCUGUGAGCUGCCACAAGCAUACGGAAAUGAGGAUGAAAAAAAUCUAAUCUGCAGAAGAUAUGUAUGCACUUUUCUAUCUACACCUCCCCAGAAAACAGAGCAUAUGUAUUUAUGACACAAAUUAGUGCUGAUUAUAUUAUGUAGUUAUUGUUAAUCAGCAGUUGAAUUCAGCAUGGAAGAAACUUCAAACCUCAAACGCCGUCGUCAAACCCUAGCCAAAGCUCAAUCACUUAACGUUCCAA
rnacentral:lncRNA from 1 species